rnacentral:rRNA from 1 species
GACGAACGUUGGCGGCGUGCUUAACACAUGCAAGUCGAACGGAAAGGCCCUGCUUUUGUGGGGUGCUCGAGUGGCGAACGGGUGAGUAACACGUGAGUAACCUGCCCUUGACUUUGGGAUAACUUCAGGAAACUGGGGCUAAUACCGGAUAGGAGCUCCUGCUGCAUGGUGGGGGUUGGAAAGUUUCGGCGGUUGGGGAUGGACUCGCGGCUUAUCAGCUUGUUGGUGGGGUAGUGGCUUACCAAGGCUUUGACGGGUAGCCGGCCUGAGAGGGUGACCGGCCACAUUGGGACUGAGAUACGGCCCAGACUCCUACGGGAGGCAGCAGUGGGGAAUAUUGCACAAUGGGCGGAAGCCUGAUGCAGCAACGCCGCGUGCGGGAUGACGGCCUUCGGGUUGUAAACCGCUUUCGCCUGUGACGAAGCGUGAGUGACGGUAAUGGGUAAAGAAGCACCGGCUAACUACGUGCCAGCAGCCGCGGUGAUACGUAGGGUGCGAGCGUUGUCCGGAUUUAUUGGGCGUAAAGGGCUCGUAGGUGGUUGAUCGCGUCGAAAGUGUAAUCUUGGGGCUUAACCCUGAGCGUGCUUUCGAUACGGGUUGACUUGAGGAAGGUAGGGGAGAAUGGAAUUCCUGGUGGAGCGGUGGAAUGCGCAGAUAUCAGGAGGAACACCAGUGGCGAAGGCGGUUCUCUGGGCCUUUCCUGACGCUGAGGAGCGAAAGCGUGGGGAGCGAACAGGCUUAGAUACCCUGGUAGUCCACGCUGUAAACGGUGGGUACUAGGUGUGGGGUCCAUUCCACGGGUUCCGUGCCGUAGCUAACGCUUUAAGUACCCCGCCUGGGGAGUACGGCCGCAAGGCUAAAACUCAAAGGAAUUGACGGGGCCCCGCACAAGCGGCGGAGCAUGCGGAUUAAUUCGAUGCAACGCGUAGAACCUUACCUGGGUUUGACAUGGAUCGGGAGUGCUCAGAGAUGGGUGUGCCUCUUUUGGGGUCGGUUCACAGGUGGUGCAUGCCUGUCGUCAGCUCGUGUCGUGAGAUGUUGGGUUAAGUCCCGCAACGAGCGCAACCCUUGUUCACUGUUGCCAGCACGUUAUGGUGGGGACUCAGUGGAGACCGCCGGGGUCAACUCGGAGGAAGGUGGGGAUGACGUCAAGUCCUCAUGCCCCUUAUGUCCAGGGCUUCACGCAUGCUACAAUGGCUGGUACAGAGAGUGGCGAGCCUGUGAGGGUGAGCGAAUCUCGGAAAGCCGGUCUCAGUUCGGAUUGGGGUCUGCAACUCGACCUCAUGAAGUCGGAGUCGCUAGUAAUCGCAGAUCAGCAACGCUGCGGUGAAUACGUUCCCGGGGCU